rnacentral:rRNA from 1 species
AUUUGAUCUCAAAUCAGGUAGGACU